GACGAACCGUGCAAACGUUAUUCGGAAUCACUGGGCAUAAAGGGCGCGUAGGCGGCUCUCUAAGUCAGGGGUGAAAUCCGGCAGCUCAACUGUCGCAGUGCCCUUGAUACUGGAGAGCUCGAGGGAUGUAGGGGUCUGUGGAACUUCCGGUGGAGCGGUGAAAUGCGUUGAUAUCGGAAGGAACGCCGGUGGCGAAAGCGACGGACUGGACAUCUUCUGACGCUGAGGCGCGAAAGCCAGGGGAGCAAACGGG
rnacentral:rRNA from 1 species